UAAUGCCCCAGAUAACAGUGAAAAGCUUCACGGCUUUGAAAUUUAUUUUUUCUUGAGAUGGCUGAGCGACCGGAGGAAGCUCCUGCUGGCGCAUUAGAAAAAAAGAUUUCAAGACGAGAACUUGUAACGAAUAGCUGGAAUAGGC
rnacentral:sRNA from 1 species